rnacentral:rRNA from 1 species
CCUACGGGAGGCAGCAGUGGGGAAUAUUGGGCAAUGGAGGAAACUCUGACCCAGCGACGCCGCGUGCGGGAUGAAGGCCUUCGGGUUGUAAACCGCUUUCAGCAGGGAAGAAGCGAAAGUGACGGUACCUGCAGAAGAAGCACCGGCUAACUAUGUGCCAGCAGCCGCGGUAAUACAUAGGGUGCAAGCGUUGUCCGGAAUUAUUGGGCGUAAAGAGCUCGUAGGUGGUUCGUCACGUCGGAUGUGAAAAUCUGGGGCUUAACCCCAGACCUGCAUUCGAUACGGGCGAGCUUGAGUAUGGUAGGGGAGUCUGGAAUUCCUGGUGUAGCGGUGGAAUGCGCAGAUAUCAGGAGGAACACCAAUGGCGAAGGCAGGACUCUGGGCCAUUACUGACACUGAGGAGCGAAAGCGUGGGGAGCGAACAGGAUUAGAUACCCUGGUAGUCCACGCCGUAAACGGUGGGCACUAGUUGUGGGGACCUUCCACGGUCUCUGCGACGCAGCUAACGCAUUAAGUGCCCCGCCUGGGGAGUACGAUCGCAAGAUUAAAACUUAAAUGAAUUGACGGCUGAGACGUGCGAGACGACGACGAGGGAGAG